rnacentral:rRNA from 1 species
GAUGAACGCUGGCGGCGUGCUUAACACAUGCAAGUCGAACGGAAAGGCCCAAGCUUGCUUGGGUACUCGAGUGGCGAACGGGUGAGUAACACGUGGGUGAUCUGCCCUGCACUUCGGGAUAAGCCUGGGAAACUGGGUCUAAUACCGGAUAGGACCACAUUUUGGAUGGUGUGGUGGAAAGUUUUUCGGUGUGGGAUGAGCUCGCGGCCUAUCAGCUUGUUGGUGGGGUAAUGGCCUACCAAGGCGUCGACGGGUAGCCGACCUGAGAGGGUGUACGGCCACAUUGGGACUGAGAUACGGCCCAGACUCCUACGGGAGGCAGCAGUGGGGAAGAUUGCACAAUGGGCGCAAGCCUGAUGCAGCGACGCCGCGGGGGGGAUGACGGCCUUCGGGUUGUAAACUCCUUUCGCUAGGGACGAAGCGUUAUGUGACGGUACCUGGAGAAGAAGCACCGGCUAACUACGUG